UUACGACCAUAUCACGUGGAAACACCGGUUCUCGUUCGAUCACCGAAAUUAAGCAACGUCUCGUCAGUACAUUGAUGGGUGACUACCUGGGUGUGCGGGUGGUG